CAAGAUUACCCUCCCCCAUCCCCACCUCUCCGGGGCCCGCCCCCUGGGCGACUGUUGGGGUAGUGAGUGACAGCGGAGGAUGGGGGAAGGCAGGGACCCAGCCCUCACGUGCCCCUCCUUCCCUUGUCUGCAGCCACGGGACCCCCAAAACAGUCAGAGAGUCAGAGUUAUGGGGUAUCUGAAGCUUGAUCCCCAGCCACACAGGUCGGGUUAAAUGGCUCUGGCUCAGUGGCAACGCCUGUGCAGUAACCAUUACUGCUUGAUGACCCCCAAACCGGGUCCUGCAAAGCCACCCCCUACUCUCUCAACAGUCUUAGGCCCGCCUGCACCCAGGUGAAAUAAACAGCCUUGUUGCUCACACAAAGCGUGUUGGUGGACUCUCUUCACAUGGAUGUGUGUGACAUUUGGUGCCGAAACCUGGGACAGGAGGACUCCUUCGGGAGACCAGUCCCCCAUCCUCAUCCUCACUCCGUGAGGAGAUCCACGUAUGACCUCAGGUCCUCAGACCAACUAACCCAAGGAACAUCUCACCAAAUUCAAAUCAGGACCCCACUGGAAAUCGGACUGUCCAACUCGCCUGGCAGCCACUCCUAGAGUCCCUAGAACUCUGGCCCAAGGCUAUCUGACUGACGCCUUUCCAGAUCUUCUCGGCUUAGGGGCUGAAGACUGACGCUGCCCAAUCGCCUCAAAAACCUCCUGGACCAUCAUGGACGCUUUGGGUAACUCUUACAGUGGAGGAUUCCCAGCCACAUGAAGACACCCUAGCUGGACGAUCAGUUCUUGUUAAGAAUCUGACACCUUAAACUCUACAACCUUGAUGGACCGGACCCUACUCAGUCAUCUAUAGUACCCCAACUGCCGUCCACCUGCAGGACCCUCCCCAUUGGGUUCACUGUUGUAGAAUAAAGCUGUGUCCGUUGGACAGCCAGCCUGAUCUCUCCUCUUCCUCCUGGAAGUUACGGAGUCUCGCUCUGUUGCCCAGGCUGGAGUGCAGUGGCGCGAUCUCAGCUCACUGCAAGCUCCAUCUCCCAGGUUCACGCCAUUCUCCUGCCUCAGGCUCCUGAGUAGCUGGGACUACAGGUGCCUGCCACCAUGCCCGGCUAAUUUUUUGUAUUUUUUUAGUAGAUACAGGGUUUCACCACGUUAGUCAGGAUGGUCUUGAUCUCCUGACCUUGUGAUCCACCCACUUCGGCCUCCCAAAGUGCUGGGAUUACAGGCAUGAGCCACCAUGCCCGGCCUACCUUUAUACUCACUUAUUCUCAUUCCUGUUCUUAUACCACCCUCUACUCUCCCCAGCUAUCUCCACCACACUAUCAAUCUCACUCACUCUCUCCUAGCCGUUUCUAAUCCUUCUUUAACAAACAAUUGCUGGCUUUGCCUUUCUCUUUCCUCCAAAAUUACCGAGGCCUCGACUUACUCAUUGCUAAAAAAAGGGGACUAUGUAUAUUUUUAAAUGAAGAGUGUUGUUUUUACCUAAAUCAAUCUGGCCUGGUAUAUGACAACAUAAAAAAACUCAAGGAUAGAGCCCAAAAACUCACCAACCAAGCAAAUAAUUACACUGAACCCCCUUGGGCACUCUCUAAUUGGAUGUCCUGGGUCCUCCCAAUUCUUAGUCCUUUAAUACCUGUUUUUCUCCUUCUCUUAUUCGGACUUUGUGUCUUCUGUUUAGUUUCUCAAUUCAUACAAAACUGCAUCCAGGCCAUCACCAAUCAUUCUCUAUGACAAAUGCUCCUUCCAACAACCCCACAAUAUCACCCCUUACCCCAAAAUCUUUCUUCAGUUUAAUCUCUCCCACUCUAGGUUCCCAUGCCACCCCUAAUCCCAUUCGAAGCAGCCCUGAGAAACAUUACCCAUUAUCUCUCCAUACCACCCCCAAAAUACAUUCGCCACCCCAACACUUCACCACCAUUUUGUUUUGUUUUUCUUAUUAAUAUAAGAAGACAGGAAUGUCAGGCCUCUGAGCCCAAGCUAAGCCAUCAUAUCCCCUGUGACCAGCACUAUACAUCCAUAUGGCCUGAAGCAACUGAAGAUCCACAAAAGAAGUGAAAAUAGCCAAUUCCUGCCUUAACUGAUGACAUUCCACCAUUCCUGCCCCACCCUAACUGAUCAAUUGACUUUGUGACAAUACACCCUCCCCACCCUUGGGAUAAUGUACUUUGUGAUAUUCCCCCAGCCUUGCAAAUGUACUUUGUAUGAUACACCCCACCCUUGAGAAGGUACUUUGCAAUAUGCUCCCCCACCCUUAAGAAGGUACUUUGUAAGGUUCUCCCUACCCUUUGUACUUUGUAAGAUCCACCCCCUGCCUGCAAAAAAUUGCUCCUAACUCCACUGCCUAUCCCAAACCUAUAAGAACUCAUGAUAAUCCCACCACCCUUUGCUGACUGCUUUUUUGGACUCAGCUUGCCUACACCCAGGUGAAAUAAACAGCCUUGUUGCUCACACAAA